UGGUGGGUGCAUGGAAGCUAGCUCAGCCUCCAGCCAGGGCUGCAUUGUCACAACAGGAAGGAAGAGCCUGCUGCCUCCAUCUGCCGGUGCCUAAAGCCUGGAGGCAUCUUCAGGACCAUGUGAAUACCGACUGAAGACGCCUGUCUGACCAGGGAGGAUACAUUUUUUCAUAGGAUCCCCUUUGUGAGAAACCACCAUAUAGUGACAAAAAAAAUACAUACACCUUCUGGCCAUGCUAGCACAUUGUCUGAAACAGAGGAUGAUGCUGAUGGAGGAACAUCCUCUGCCGUUGUGCCCCCGCGAAGGCGAAGCCUAGGUGUGACUAGCAGGCCACCACUUCAGGCAUCACCCCCACGCCGCAUAUAGGUGGUUUCACCCGUGCCCCCACAACAACUGCUGGACAGUCCCCCACGCAUGCCCCCACAAUCACCACAUU